rnacentral:piRNA from 1 species
UCUGAAGCACUUGAGACAUAGGUCA